rnacentral:rRNA from 1 species
GUGGGGAAUAUUGGUCAAUGGACGGAAGUCUGAACCAGCCAAGUAGCGUGAAGGAUGAAGGCCCUACGGGUUGUAAACUUCUUUUAGAGACGAGUAAAGAAAGCGACGAGUCGCUGGUUGCAUUAAGUUUCAGAAAAAGGACCGGCUAAUUCCGUGCCAGCAGCCGCGGUAAUACGGAAGGUCCGGGCGUUAUCCGGAAUUAUUGGGUUUAAAGGGAGCGCAGGCGGUUUGAAAAGCUUGCCGUGAAAUGUCGGCGCUUAACGUCGGAAUUGCGGUGAGAACUGUCAGACUAGAAUUUACAGGGCGUACAUGGAAUUCGUGGUGUAGCGGUGAAAUGCAUAGAUAUCACGAAGAACUCCGAAAGCGAAGGCAGUGUACGGUAGUAAGAUUGACGCUGAGGCUCGAAGGUGCGGGUAUCGAACAGGAUUAGAUACCCGUGUAGUCC